CCCGCGGGGCGCUGGCCCUGUUGCUGCUGCUGCACCUCCUGACGGCGUCGUGCGGGCGGGCGGCCGCCGUCGAGCCCUGCGCCGCGCCCUGCUUGUGCCGCCGCGGCCUGCUGGACUGCAGCCGGCAGCGCCUGCCGCCCGGGGCCGGACCGCGGAGGAUCGCGCCGUUGCCCGCCGGCACCACGGCGAUGGAUUUAAGUCACAAUCAUAUCUUGUCAUCCAACUGGAGCAUGGAUUUGUCUGCUCACACGCUGCAAGAAGUGAAAAUGAAUUACAAUGAGCUGAGUGAAAUUCCCUAUUUUGGAGAAACGACUUCCAAUAUCACCCUGCUCUCACUGGUGCACAAUGCCAUUCCAGAAAUAAACGCUGAGCAGCUCCAAGUUUACCUUUCAUUGGAAAACCUGGAUCUGAGUUCCAAUCUUAUAUCAGAAAUUAAAGCUGCUUCUUUUCCACGGAUGCAGCUGAAGUACCUGAAUCUGAGUAACAACAGAAUCAGCACCCUGGAAGCAGGCUGCCUCGAUAAUUUAUCUAGCUCUCUCAUAGUGCUGAAGCUGAACAGAAAUAGGAUUAGUGUGAUUCCACCAAAGAUCUUCAAAUUGCCUCACGUGCAGUUUCUGGAACUGAAAAGGAACCGGAUUAAAAUUGUGGAAAGUCUUACAUUCCAAGGCCUGGAGUCCCUGAAAUCCUUAAAGAUGCAGCGCAAUGGGAUUAGCAGACUCAUGGAUGGAGCAUUCUUUGGCCUCAAUAGUAUAGAAGAAUUAGAACUGGAACAUAAUAACUUGACAGAAGUAAACAAGGGCUGGCUGUAUGGGCUGCGGACACUGCAACAACUCUUCAUAAGCCAGAAUGCCAUUAACAAGAUCAGCCCAGAUGCAUGGGAGUUCUGCCAAAGACUUGCUGAGCUAGACCUGUCGUACAACCAGCUAACUCGCCUCAGGGAAUCUGCCUUCGUGGGACUUGGUUUGCUGGAGAAACUGAACCUGGGAGACAAUCGGAUCAGUCACAUUGCUGAUGGUGUCUUCAGAGGUCUGACAAACCUUCGAACCCUGGACUUGGGGAACAAUGAGAUCUCCUGGGCCAUAGAGGAUGCGAAUGAAGCAUUUGUGGGACUCAGCAGGCUGGAUAAACUAAUCUUACAAGGAAAUCAGAUUAAAUCAAUUACGAAGAAAGCAUUCUCUGGUCUUGAAGGACUUGAACAUCUAGAUUUAAGCAACAACGCAGUAAUGUCCAUCCAAGAAAAUGCAUUUGCCCAGGCUCAACUGAAGGAGCUGGUUUUGAACACCAGCAGCUUGCUCUGUGAUUGCCAGCUGAAGUGGCUGCCACAGUGGCUCACUGACAGUCACUUCCAGCAGGCUGUGAACGUCAGCUGUGCUCACCCUGAGUGGCUGGCAGGGCAAAGCCUGUUCAGCGUGGAGCCUGAUGACUUCGUCUGUGAUAAUUUCCCUAAGCCACAGAUACGAGUGCAUCCUGAGACCACGAUUGCUCUGCGUGGCAUGAAUGUGACUCUGACCUGCACUGCUGUGAGCAGCAGCGAUUCACCCAUGUCCACUGCGUGGCGUAAGGACAGCGAAGUGCUGUAUGAUGCAGAGGUUGAGAAUUUUGCCAGGUAUCAGCAGCAGAAUGGUGAGAUUGUUGAGUACACCACUGUCCUCCACCUUUUCAAUGUGAAUUUCACCGAUGAAGGAAAAUAUCAGUGCAUCGUCACCAAUCACUUUGGCUCCAACUAUUCUGACAAAGCCAAGCUGACUGUUAAUGAGCUGCCUUCCUUCCUGAAGACCCCCAUGGAUCUCACAAUCCGCACUGGGGCGAUGGCCCGACUGGAGUGUGCUGCAGAGGGCCACCCCACCCCCCAGAUCUCCUGGCAGAAAGAUGGUGGCACAGACUUCCCUGCUGCACGAGAGAGGAGAAUGCACGUCAUGCCUGAGGACGACGUGUUCUUUAUUGCAAAUGUGAAAAUAGAAGACAUGGGCAUCUAUAGCUGUAUGGCACAAAACGCUGCUGGGGGUUUGUCAGCAAAUGCUACACUGACUGUGUUAGAAACUCCUUCCUUUAUUAGACCCUUGGAAGACAGAACAGUGACCAGAGGUGAAACUGCAGUCCUGCAGUGCAUAGCUGGUGGCAGCCCUGCCCCUCGCCUCAACUGGACUAAAGAUGAUGGACCUUUGGCUGUCACAGAGAGGCAUUUUUUCGCUGCGGCCAAUCAGCUCCUCAUCAUCGUGGACGCUGGGCUGGAGGAUGCUGGAAAGUACACCUGCAUUAUGUCCAACACGCUGGGCACUGAGCGUGGGCACAUUUACCUCAAUGUGUUGGCUUCCCCCAACUGCGACUCGUCCCAAAAUGGCAUCGUCCACGAGGAAGAUGGUUGGACGACAGUAGGCGUUGUGAUCAUCGUCGUGGUUUGCUGCGUUGUGGGAACUUCCCUGGUGUGGGUUAUUGUGAUUUACCACAUGAGAAGGAAGAGUGAAGAUUACAGCAUCACUAAUACAGAGGAGAUGAACCUACCUGCUGACAUUCCCAGUUAUUUAUCCUCCCAAGGAACGCUGUCAGAGCCUCAGGAAGGAUACAGUAACUCAGAGGCAGGAAGCCAUCAGCAGCUCAUGCCUCCAGCCAGCAGCUACGUGCACAAAAGCACAGAUGGUGGCACAGCACCACUGGUGAUCUGCUCAGACUGUUACGACAAUGCAAACAUCUACUCCAGGACACGAGAGUACUGUCCCUACACCUACAUCACAGAGGAGGACCCCCUGGAUCCAGCUCUCCCUAAUCUCAUGGUGCAGAUGCCCAAGGAAACAUACCCAGCACACACCCAGCAUGAGACCAGUGCUCUUGAUAAUGCUUAUGGAGACAGAGACAUGUCUGUCUUCCUUACCAGUCACGACAGAAUAAGUGAGAAGAAAAUCUCUUCCCAGCAGAUUAAUGAGCCCUUCCAGCUUCCCUUAUGGGCGGUAAACAAAGACCUGGCGCUCUCCCACUCGCACUUUCUGCAGCAGCAAUCGGCUCGUGAGGCCCCGCGACCUCUUCGAACUGAGGGAAUCCUUGACAGUGAGAGGGAGCAGGCUGCCUCACCCAGAGCCCUGCACAGGUUACGUGAGCAUAACUUUGAUUUUAAUAGGACACGGAACAUUCGCGACUACAGCGAAACCACGUAAGGCACGGGAACGGAGCCUUGGAAGCAAAUCCCUAUCAGCUGACUUGUAUUUCUACCUCAGGACUAAACUCUAGGCCAAAGAUGCUUUAAACGUGUGUCUGCAAUUCCAGGCUGCCUGAGCUGAGGCAGACCCCCCCUGGCAGGAGGUGGCACUGCCCUUUUUGCUUGGAUUCGUGUGUGCUGCAAGGUGGGACAGAACACGCAGUGAUCAGUGACUGGCGUUACAACGUGGAUCUUCUGAUGUUGGGAACAGCCUUUGUGUUGGUGCAUGCUUUGAAAAUCUCUCAAGAAUGCAUAGCUAUUUCACACCACAUUGUCUGCUUGAAAACAAAUGUUCAAGGCCUCCUCAUGGAAUUCCCCAGUAAUUGGAGGCACGUGUGCAUCUUCCAUAGCUGACAGCUAAAUGAACUUCUGCAAGGAGUGCCCUGAUGAAAGGCAUGGGGUGAGUUGGAAAAGCACGUGAUGAAUGCUCCACGAAAUCCAGAAUGGAUUUUCUGUUUCCUCUGCGCUGCCAGGAAGCACGUGGGCCUUUUCUUUCAUAAAAGAGCAACGGGAUUCUUGCUCUGUUAAACCCUGUAAAGGUUCUGUAGGCCACAGCGUGGUCAAGAUGUGAAGCAUUUGAGAGGUGAGCUGUUAAACAGCAGGAGAACCACUAUUGAAAAUGCAGCCCUUGCUGGGACAAAUAGCAGAAGUGCAGAAGUGUGUGACAAACUGAGGAGGAAGAGCAUUACAAAGACUUGUUCUGAGUUGUUCUUCUGGGAAAACACAUCUUUGUGUUUUGUGUGAUGUCCCAUCAGCGAUGGGCUUUGAGCAGAACGUUGCGCUCAGAGCUUGGGGUGCUUCAGUGCCUGAAAAGCUCGGGGUUUUCUGUCUCUGCUCUGCUUUUUCCAAGCCAUGGGCUACAGACUGAGUGAGAGCAGCUGUGUGGUAUGGCUGGAAAGACAGAACCUUCCUGGGGCAGCCCAAGCUGUAGGUCGGGAUUCCCACUGCUCCAUUCCUGCACAGUGUGUGACUGAGGGCUCGGAUGCAAAAUCGCAGCUGAAACUUCGGAGACUGGGGAAUGGUUAAGUGAAAGAGCCAGGAAAUGCUGGGAAAAAUAUUUUCCCACGUCUCUUUGGGCCUGAAUAGUAGAUGUAUGUAAAUGAGCAAAUGUUAUUGAGGGCUCUUACCUUUGUUUUGAAAGCAACAGCAGUUGCCUUGGUAGCCAGCAGCUUCAGUAGGAAGAGGACCUCAUUGUCUUUGACCUUUGUAUGAAGUGGGGAAGGAGGUGUGUUAAACUCUGCCUCUGACCUCUCAACUAUUGUAAGGACUUACACAUAACAUACCAAGAAUUGUGUGUUUGUUUCUUUCUGGUUUGGUUUUCUCCAGGCUUUUCCCUUCCAGACAGCAUUGAAGACGUUGUGGUUAUUUUCUAUCCCAACUUGUUUCUGUUGCAGGAGCUGUCAGUUUAAAUUCAAAUGAGAAAGGUCAGGUCAUAAAACUGCAGCAGCAGCACAGAGCUUCCUGUUGGACUGCUGGCUGCAGCUAUUCACACAGGCUGAUGUGGCAGAGCUCUGCUCAGCACGAGCAGGAAAGCAGCAUCCCUACUGCUGCUGCUUGGUCUGCCAUCAUCCUUUGGGACAUGUUGAAGUUUUCCUUCCAUCCCUCUUUGGGUUAAGCUAACACAGGUCUCAGCUCGCUUGGUUUAAGUGUUGAUGUUGGUGUGCAUGAGGAGCACCCAGAGCUGGAGUGCUCUUAAUGCACAGCUCUGCAGCACAACCAAAUUCACACGAAGUUGGCAGGAUGUGGUUGGCCAGGAGCAAAGCUUUAGCAUCGUGCUGCCUGCACCAGAACAAGCUGAAGCCUGAGUCUGAAAUGCAUUUAGGAGUUAAAGCUGCUCUGAUUUCUAGAAUAAUUCACCCAUAAAAGCUGCCAUUGUGAAUUAGGACGCUUGAAUCCUUGCAGCAAUGCAAUCUCUGUGAAGUCCAUAAGCUGGUUGUGAAUAGCUGAAGCUUGCAGGUAGGUGAAGGAAGGCCUGCACAUGAAGAUCAGGGGUUUCUUCCUUUCCUCCAUGACGUGCAGGCAGUGCAGUGGCCGUUCUGAUUUCAGUAAACAGUUUCUUCAAUCAAUGCCAAAGUAUUCAUGGUAGGGAAUGGAGGGCUGUGUGAUCAAAGCUGCUCUGCUUCCCUGUUGCUUUUUCCUACUAUUUUUUUUUCCUCACGUAAGAAUGUAUAUUUUGUAUAGGAUGUGUAAUAUAUGUUUGUCUAUUGUAACAUACCUUCAAUAAAAUGCUAUGUACACCGAGUAUCCAUUGUAAUUUCAUUAGUUUGCAGAUUAAAUAAUGUAUUGUUAUUGAAUGAUAUUUAAUUUUUAUAGGGAGGAAAAUAAAUUCAACUUCAUAAGUCAGUUUCAGGUGGGAU